rnacentral:lncRNA from 10 species
GGAGUUUUUGGGGCCCCCGGGAACCCGCGCGCCGAGGCCGGCUAAGUUUGGCAGACUCUCUGAGCUCUCGGAAUUCGACUGCCUCCAUUGUUGCUCCUUCUGGCACCCACAGACCACAUCUCUUCAGUGGACCCCCUGAUAGGCCGGUUUGCUCCAGGUGAGGUGUGCUCACAGCAACUGCAACCGUGUUUCUUUCAGACCAUGGGCGUGAGCAGAACCUACUAUGCGCCCCUGCUGCCUGGGCUGUGCUGUUCAGUUUGGGGCCACCAGCCCCACAUGGCUCCUGAGCACUUAAAGUUGGAGCUGAAGGAGUGCCCAGGCUGCGGAUGGAGGAAGGACGUGCUCGGGAGAAGGUGAAGAUGGGAGAGAAGCAAGAUCUUCUGUGUUUGGACCAAGGACACAUUUCCUUACUCCAUAGCAGCUGUGGUCAGUGGCUUAGCUCGGACAAGGAGAUGAGAGCCCAUGUGUUGUGAGGGUUCUUCUGGGAACUCUGAGAAGGCAGGAGCCGCCCCCGCCCUUCACUGCCUCUCUUCCAUUCUGCAGCAUGGAAUAUGGAUGUGUGGUCUGGAUGUACAGACACCAUUUUGGACCAUAAAGACAAGGACGAUUGUCUAAGGAUGACACAGCCAGAGCACUGAGAGUGGCGAGAAGGACAGGGGAGCUGCUGUGCCAAGCAGGACUGUCUCUCUUAAGAGAAAAAUAAAAUUUA